CGGCGACCAUGAAGUUUUCAGUUGACCCUUUCUCAUUUCAUUCCUCCGCGUUGAUUCGCAGAAGGGAAAAGGCUUCUUCGGACGGAAUUCCCACACCCCGAAACUCUACGGUGAUCUCCAUUUCCUCCUCCACAUGGACGAAGAGUCCUCCAAGGAAGAGCACUAUGCUUCUUCAAGUUUGGAUAGUCACAAGGUAAAAUGUUGGGGAUGUGGAUUAAAUCUUCUCCUUGAAUCAUUUUCCCCAAUAUUUAAAUGUGGUUGGUGCGGAGCGAUAACAGAUCAAAGCAGAGCUUUGAGGAAACCUGAUAGUGCUUGUUUUUCACGGUGGAGAUGUUUACGAGACCGCCUUUUUGUUACUCUUCUUCUUUGCUUCAUGCUAUUUGUGAUAUGUGCUGGUGUUUGGGCAAUCUAUCCCAUUAUUUUCUCCAUCAGCAUGUUUUAUGGAGUUUUUCACUGCUUAUUAACAGCCAUCUUAUCCAUCCUUACCAUCACUUAUUUUUGCAUGGCUUCCUUUUUCCCUCCUGGUUCACCACCAAAUAUAACAUGGGGAAGCUAUCCAGUAGUAGGGAAGGAUGGUCUAGACAACUACACAUUUUGUGCUUAUUGUUCCAAGCCAAAGCCUCCAAGGGCACACCAUUGCCGUUCCUGUAGAAUGUGUGUUCUGGAUAUGGACCACCACUGUCCAUUUCAGAUAGGAAAUUGUGUUGGAUCUGCAAAUCAUUGGUACUUUAUAAUGUUUCUUAUUAGUGUAAUCAUUAGCUGCACCUAUGUUUUCAUGAUGACACUAUAUGCUGGUUUUCAUGUAUGGCCACCAUUGGUACUGAGAAAGCUCACCAUAUCAUCCUCUGGCCCUCGAAUUGCUGCCAGUAUUCUAAAGGAGAUAGUUGCUGCAUUAGCUAGCUCAGCACUUCUUUUAUCUGCAAGAGGUCUCGUUCUUAUGUAUCUGGCAUUUGCAAGUGUCAGCGUGGAAAUUGGUAUAGUUGCAUUAUUGUGGCAGCAACUCCAUUGGAUAUAUGAAGGUAACACGUAUAUAAACCAAAUAACUUCACAUAACAGUGCACGUAGACAAGGGGGCUGCCAAAAUCUUUUUCGUUUUUUUGGUUGCCCACACUCAGUUCUUAGAGUAUUUUUGGGUUCUGGAAAUUCUGGAAAACUGCAAGAUAUAUCAAGCUCCAAGCUCUUGUAGAGUCAACAGAAUAUAAUUAAGUGAUGGAGAGAAUCUAAGUGGUGGCCUUACAGUUCUCGAAGAUCUCCGUAAUUCCGGCAGAGGAGUGGUUUCUGGGGCUACAUUCUCUUGUUGGUGAUGGAGGAUGUAUGCUCAGGUCACUUCACAGAUCAUGGAGUCUCAGCUAGUCAGUGACGAUCUUCACUGUCACCUCUCCACAGUUCUUUCGGCGCAAGAAUGAUGCGGACGACGAGUUUUGCUCGAGUUAACAUCUGAUGCUGCUGGGUCCAGCUAACCCUGCAUCAGAUUCACAGGUACAAAAAUAUUCUCUCACAAAGUCAUUAGGCAGCAAUUUAUAUACUCUAUUUGUUGAGUAUUUGAGUUUAAUGUACUCAACCAGUUUUUAGUAUUAGGAUGAACAGCAUAUGUUGUGUUUAAUAUUAUCUUAAAUGCACAUAUAUAUAUGUAUCUCUGGAAAGUAGUGUAUACUCGUGUACAAAAUUCAUGGCUUCGAUAAUCACUUUAGGGAUGUGUCGUUUUACGAAAUGCAAACUUGCUCCUGUGAUUAAAUUAGGGUUUAGGGUCUUUCUGUAUAGAGCCCAAGAUCACUAGUUGAUGAUCCAUAGACCUUUAAUAGCAUCACUAUGUCGUCUUGUUUGUCUUGGGUUCUACUUGGUUAUUGUCAUAUUUUGAUUUUGUUUAACAUUUAAGUUCUGUACAUUGCUAAUGCAAAUCAUUGUAUAAUGUGAAAUUUUAAAAUUAAUGGUUGUGAUUUUGUAGUCUGAAUUGCCUAUUAA